CCAAACACUAACAUAUGUGUAAGCGCCAAUCUAUUAUAUUAUCUGUCAUAAACUACAUAGCUCAGUGCCAGACUUGAGAGCAGAAAAUGCCGAUGACAGCUAUACCUGGGUGAACCACCUUACGGAAGGUGGUUUAUCAAAGCCCACAGAAGAGAUGAUGGCACAUAUGCAGCAAUUGCAGUGCGUGUUUGACGAAAUUAACGGCAGCGGGUUAAAGAUAAUGCUAAUGAUAAAACUUCGUAGACGACCACAUCAGAAGCGCCAAUCAUAUAAGCUGCGAUGUGAAGGUCAAGAGAUUAUUUUUCCGUACACGCAUAUUCGUCAGAAUACGAACUUUAAAUAAGCAACUUUCUGACAGUGCAAAAUCACGAAAACGAAAGUUUAGAAAAAUAUUCACAUAAAGAGCCUAACAGGUGGGAACUAUCCGCUGAAGAUGAACAGCACAAAAACCUGGAAGACAGUCUGGUGAAAGAACGAAGCAUUCAUAUUUUGUAUUGUGGCAUAUUGUACCUCCAUAUCAGAGGCUGCCACAACGUAACGCUCUCACUAACCUGCUAACUUUGCACAUGCCUGCUCCAUAAGUUGGCGAUUGUAAAUUAUUGUAAGUAUCAACGUAACUGUGGUAAGUGAUGGUCCAACAGAACAAAUACUGGAUACGGUAAGUUACUUUAUUUUAUAUUUAUUAUUAAUGACCAAAUCAUAUAAUAUAUAGUAUAUCCAUUAGGUUUACCAGUCGAUACUGUAUUUUGGAAAACUGGAAAUACAUAUACACAUAUACGCGCUUUCGAAAGUAAAAACUGGACAUUUAAUUAUCAACAGCAUUAUGCAGCAUGUUUUUACCACGAUACAAGUGUCAACGAUAUUUGCAACAGAAUCGCUUCACUUGAAUAGCGGCAGGGCUGCUUGUAGUAUAAUGCCUAAGCUUGUUCCAUCCGAAUUCCGUAAACUUAACGACAAAGGCUGCAGACUGAAGUUCGGAAAUAACACUAUGUUUGGUAUCGUCAAUCCGUAGAAUAACACAAUAAAUUCAUAAUUCAUAUUACACAGCGUGUCCAAUCAUCCAAACAGUGGAAUCAUCCAUGAACGCAGAACCAGUUCAUGGAAUCGGCUGCAUUUGAUGCAGCUACAAGGUAUGGCAAGCACUAUUGCACUACAUUUAGCAACAU